rnacentral:rRNA from 1 species
AGUAACACGUGGAUAACCUACCUAUAAGACUGGGAUAACUUCGGGAAACCGGAGCUAAUACCGGAUAAUAUUUUGAGUCGCAUGGUUCAAAAGUGAAAGACGGUCUUGCUGUCACUUAUAGAUGGAUUCGCGCUGCAUUAGCUAGUUGGUAAGGUAACGGCUUACCAAGGCAACGAUGCAUAGCCGACCUGAGAGGGUGAUCGGCCACACUGGAACUGAGACACGGUCCAG